rnacentral:rRNA from 1 species
GAUGAACGCUAGCGGCAGGCUUAACACAUGCAAGUCGAGGGGUAUAGUUCUUCGGAGCUAGAGACCGGCGCACGGGUGCGUAACGCGUAUGCAAUCUACCCUUUGCAGAGGGAUAGCCCAGAGAAAUUUGGAUUAAUACCUCAUGGUAUGUGAGAAUGGCAUCAUUUUCACAUUAAAGUCACAACGGCAAAAGAUGAGCAUGCGUCCCAUUAGCUAGUUGGUACGGUAACGGCUUACCAAGGCAACGAUGGGUAGGGGUCCUGAGAGGGAGAUCCCCCACACUGGUACUGAGACACGGACCAGACGCCUGCGGGAGGCAGCAAUGAGGAAUAGUAGACAGUGGGCGCAAGCCUGAUCCAGCCAUGCGGCGUGCAGGGUGACGGUCCUAUGGAUUGUAAACUGCUUUUGUACAGGAAGAGACACUGGUUCGUGAACCAGCUUGACGGUACUGUAAGAAUAAGGAUCGGCUAACUCCGUGCCAGCCGCCGCAGUAACAC